rnacentral:rRNA from 1 species
GAUGAACGCUGGCGGCGUGCCUAAUACAUGCAAGUCGAGCGAACAGACGAGGAGCUUGCUCCUCUGACGUUAGCGGCGGACGGGUGAGUAACACGUGGAUAACCUACCUAUAAGACUGGGAUAACUUCGGGAAACCGGAGCUAAUACCGGAUAAUAUAUUGAACCGCAUGGUUCAAUAGUGAAAGACGGUUUUGCUGUCACUUAUAGAUGGAUCCGCGCCGCAUUAGCUAGUUGUUAAGGUAACGGCUUACCAAGGCAACGAUGCGUAGCCGACCUGAGAGGGUGAUCGACCACACUGGAACUGAGACACGGUCCAGACUCCGACGGGAGGCUGCAGUAGGGAAUCUUCCGCAAUGGGCGAAAGCGUGACGGAGCAACGCCGCGUGAGUGAUGAAGGUCGUCGGAUCGUAAAACUCUGUUAUUAGGGAAGAACAAAUGUGUAAGUAACUAUGCACGUCUUGACGGUACCUAAUCAGAAAGCCACGGCUAACUACGUG